ACAAGCAAACAAAAAAAAAUCAAAAAAAUCAUGCCUUUGAGUUCUAAACAACUGGCUGUUUAUCUGCAACUUGCAUCACUUUGAGUUUUUCUCACAUCUAACUCGGGCUCCUUUUCAAUUGAAAUGCAGUUGCUUCUCUCUAUCCAAAUUAAAUAUUUUCAGGUACUAAGCAUUAGUCUACCGCUUGCUCAUUUUUUUGGAUACAGAUGUUUGCAUUUAUUGUGUGUAAAAGGUUCACUUUCACCAUUUCAUAUUGUUUUGACGAAGAACACAUCUAAUUUGGAUAUACCGGUACAACUGAAUGUCUUUGUACCAGUGUUUCUCCACAACUGUGAAAACCGUACAUUCACAUCAUGUAACCAAGAUUCUUUUCUCUGAUAAACCUAAAAGACUGAAAUAUCGUCAAUUCAUUGUUUAUUUGAUAGUGAUUCAUAAACACAUGCUCAUGAUAUAGUCAGAAUGAUACUUUUGACUCUGCUUUAUGCAGAGAUUUCUAUUGGAGAUGGAAAGGGUUUUGUUGCUUUAGUUAUUUUCAUGCAGGACAAUCUCCACGUACCGAUGAUGGCAAACAGGGCCUAGCUUGUUUGGAUAUGUAAAGCAAUAUCAGUUUAUUAUCCACCCCUUUCAAACUGACUGAGAAACAUGAUUACAUAAUAUAUUCUUUGAGAGGGUAAUUGCAAUAGGAUCAGGUCAGUUUUACAAAGAGUUUUGUAUGAUUAUAUACAUCAAAGGUAGAAGAUAUGUCUCUAUCAGUCCCUAUCAGUGUAAACGGCAUUCGUGAGUCUACUACGGAUGUACCUUUGGUCUAUAUGUUGGUUUACUGUUAUUGAUGCGCAACGGAAAUUCAACUGCUCUUUUCCAAUGUGAAGUGAAUAUGUAACUGCUUAAUUUUUAAAUGCCAAUUUGAUACCUGUAAUUUUUUUCGAAUUUGAAACCUCAGACUAUCAUGAAAUUUACACUUAUCAAAUUUAUGUAUGAAACCUCAAACUUGAAAACUCAGUAUUUUACCUACUAGGUAAAUAUAUCACUGUGACACUUCACGCAUGAAUAUGGGAUAUGAAUAUAGUGUCAUUGACCUUAUGAUUGCUCACUGGAUGUGCUGCAAAAUAUCUUGUUUGCUUUCUCCUUUCAGAGAAAAUAAUUGUAUGCCUCAAAGCUGUGAGAGAAAAAAUAGUCCGUAUUUCAACUCUUAGUUACAAUGUUUGAAAUGCACCUUUAUUGGGAAAUGUAACUAUCAUUGUCUCAUUUCUCAUACAAUUUUCGAUUCUUGCUUGACACACAAUGGUUGUGGAGUAAUAUGGGUCAGCUAGUCAGUUUGGAAACAUGAUACUGAAAUUAUCUUGACUGUAAUACUGGUCCUGACACAUCCCAGGGUGGUGCCAUUAUGAGAUAAAUUCUAAUAGUGCUUCAAUACAGAUUACAGCUAUUUUUGUCUGACUUAUUAAAGAAAAACAUGGUGCCAAGAUUAUCACAAGCAAUGGUGGCCAGUGUACCUUUAAGUAUUUUGAUGGAAGAUGAUAGAAAUAGCUUAACAAGGUCUGCAUUUGGUAACUUUAUGACUAAUUUCUUGUCAAUCAUCAUAGGAAACAAACCUGCCCCAGGUGAGACAUGCCUUGUGACGCCCUCACUUUAACACACAUUGUUUUGUAAAUAUUUUCAUGAAUUCAAAUUUUGGUAAACUAUUUUGCUCUGUCUUACUAUUGUGUCAGCCUGAAAAAUGUAUUUAGCAAAGUAGUACUACAGUUUUUAUAACCGUUUAUAUUUUGUGUUAUAUCGAGGGAAAAGAUUUCAUAGCCUCCUGCCUAAGCUGGGGUUGCCAUCUUCUGUCACCCCCUUUUGUCAGUGGACUGGUCCAGUUUGAGAGAGGUGUUCCAUUCACCACCUAAUCUUGCUCAUUUACACUUGGAGGGGACAGGGGGUCAGUUAUUACCAGUGUUGUAAUUCUGCACACAGUGUUGUGGGUCAGAGGUCACGGACCAUGUGCUGUGAGUAAUGAUGUGAACGCUGGAUGUUAUGCUGCAGUGUUCGUUAAUUUCUACUGUCUGCCAAGGAGAAUUGCUCCAUAACUUGUGAUCUUUUCAGGAGAAGACAUCUGGAUAAUGUAGCAUCAAGAAAAACACUGCCACAGAUUUCCAUAGAGAUCAUCCGCCUGUGUUGUCGGGCAGACAGACUCAACUCGAGCAGACGGACUCCGGAAGGUGACUUGACUUCCUUCUCCGACCAGGGAUUGUAGGAUUGUGGUCUGUUGUCGGAAAUUGUCGGACUAAGUCAGUGAAUGUGUUAGUGUGGCCAGAGCUCGGACUGCAAAGUGGACAACUGUCAGUUGCUGAUGUGUCUCCCGGGUCUCAGGAAGUAGAUCCUAACACUAUUGGACUAUUCUGUUUUACUUCAACAGAAGGACCUGGAAAGGCUUGCUUCACACUGGCACUGGUGUGAUAUUUUCUGUGGGAAAUAUAACCAGACACUUGAGGGGAUUUCCUUAACCUAGGAUCAUCAGAGGUCUUGCUCCAGAUUGUGAUGUUUCUACGGACUGUGAGUGAAGCAGCAAGAAUCUUGGACGUCAUGUUGCAGCCCAGAAUCAUUGUCUUCGGUCCUGACAGACUGGCCUUGUCAGACGCUUGAGAGGUUGUGCUGUGUUGUCAUGGGUAACCCUAGUCGUUAAAUUGUACCAGCAUGUGUUCAACACGGACAUAUUCAGAUAUAUCUGGUCCCACUACAGUAUGGUGUGAUUAGCAGGGACACCUUCAGACCAUGUUCAGGUGAAGAUGUGUGGUCAGUUGGGACAUGAUGAGACAUAUCUGGGCCCACUACAGUAUGAUGUGAUUAGCAAGGACACCUUCAUACCAUGUUCAGGUGGAGAUGUGUGGUCAGUUGGGACAUGAUGAGACAUAUCUGGGCCCACUACAGUAUGAUGUGAUUAGCAAGGACACCUUCAUACCAUGUUCAGGUGGAGAUGUGUGGUCAGCGGGGACACGAUGUGCACACCAGGUUCAGACAGAAAAUGUUAAGACCAAAUUCAGACAGCAGACAUGCGUGUUUAGUAGGGGCAUGUUGAGACAUAUCGGGGUCUUGUGAUUGACCAGCAAUCGUUAGACACGGGUGCAAUGUCCUCUUGCUCGUUGUGGGCAUGUUUAGGCCAUACAAAGACAGAACCCAGAUUAUUAAGUGAACUGACAUAUGAACAGCAGACAGUGUCAAACCAUGGGCCCAGUGAGUGUGUUUGACAAUGACUUAAAUGAAGAAGAAGUUUGACAGAUAGGCAAGUCCAAGAUACAAUUGAAGAAUAUUGAUGAAAAUGUUUGAGUACCCUUAAAAUUACACGCCUUACACCUAAUGAGUUAUUGUAAGUAGACUUUAAAUAUCUGAUGUGAUAAGGGGCAUUCUGGUCAAGCAACUUUGGUCAAGGUUACAAGAAGAAGACGGCAUUCUUUAAUCAAGGUUACAAGAGGAAGUUAUCUGUCUUUGGAGAAAGUUUCAAGAGCGAUGCAUCUUACUUUGGUCAAAGUUAAGAGAAGAAGACAGAAGUCUGGAAAACUGGUCGUGAUACUUUAAUACCACAGCUAAGAUAUACACUGAGGACAGACCAAGGUUGUCAUCUUUUACCAAUAAUAAGUCUGUAAUGAGAAAUAAUCGUGUCUUGUAACCUUUUAUCUCAAAAUCUAUAGCUUCAUUGAAGUUGUGAUUAUUCCUGCCCACUGAAGUGAUG
rnacentral:misc_RNA from 1 species